AUACGAAUGGAGCAAGCGUUGUUCGGAAUCACUGGGCGUAAAGCGUACGUAGGCGGAUUUUUAAGUCAGAAGUGAAAGCCCAGGGCUCAACCCUGGAACUGCUUUUGAAACUGGAAGUCUAGAGUCCCGGAGAGGUUAGGGGAAUUCCGAGUGUAGCAGUGAAAUGCGCAGAUAUUCGGAGGAACACCAGUGGCGUAGGCGCCUAACUGGACGGGAACUGACGCUGAGGUACGAAAGCGUGGGGAGCAAACGGAAUUAGAAACCCUAGUAGUCC
rnacentral:rRNA from 1 species